rnacentral:misc_RNA from 1 species
UCUCCGUUGGUGAACCAGCGGAGGGAUCAUUACAGAGUUGCAAAACUCCCAACCAUUGUGAACGCUACCUAUCCCGUUGCUUCGGCGCGCGGCCCGGGCCCCGCGCCCGGCGCCCCCCGGCCCCCCGUGGGCCCCCGCCGGGGGUCAACCAAACCCUUGAAUUGCAUGGCCUCUCUGAGUCUUCUGUACUAAAUAAGUCAAAACUUUCAACAACGGAACUCUUGGUUCUG